AAGCAGGCCAUUGUUGACCAUAACUUCAUUAUAUAGUGUAUGGCUGUAUGUUAUUUACUUCUAUUGUAUUUGUAGUUUGUUGUCUAAUUAUCCACUCAAUUGUAAGCUCUAGAAAAGGGGACGGGUUUUUGUCUUUUUCUUUUUUUACUUACUGAUGGGUCUGUAGUACCUAAAACACUUCUUGGUACUUGACAGGCUUUCUUUAAAUGUUGGUCACGUGGAUAAAUUAGAAAUGAAUAAGCAGACUUCUUUAAACUUAAAUAAUGGUUUGGUGAGCCAAUCUAAAGUUGUAUGGAUGUGGUACAAUUCUUUGCUAUGUGGUGCUGUCUGGUGUACUGCAGAACGUUGGGCAUCUACCAGAGAUAGUAGAUGCCCACUAAUGGCACUAAGGCUCUCCAAUAAUCAUGCCAGUUAGAAAUCCCCACCCCACCCCGAAACACUCUUUGACUUGAGCAGUGAUCUGGCUUUCCACUGAACACUCUUGCCCACCCUUGUAGCCUUCUAAUACUCCACUGUGUGAGGGGUGGGAGUAGGUAUCCUUGAUUCUAAUUGCCCUUUCCACGUAUUUUCUUUCUUUUCUUUUUAACCCUGUUUUUGUUUUCUGAUUACUUUCAGUGCUGGGGAGUGAACUCAUGUUCUCUCACAUGCUAGGCAAGCACUCCACCACUGAGCUAUAUCCAAACCCUGUUUUCAGAAAGUUUUUUUAGUUUUAUUUUUUUAGAUUUAUUCAUUUUUUCAUAUGUAUGAGUAUUCAGCCGUUAUGUAUGUACAUGCACUGUAUGUGUGCCUGGUGCAGAAAAAAGUCAGAAGAGAGCACCGGGCCUCUGGAUCUGGGGUUAUGGAUAGUUGGGAGUCACCACAUAGGUGCUGGGAAUUGAACCUAGGUCCUCUGAAAGAGCAACAGGUGCUUUCAGCCUCUGAGCCAUCUCUACAGCCCUAUGUUUUCAUUUUUUGUUUGUUUUGUUUUUCAAGAUAAGGUUUCUCUGUGUAGUGCUGGCUGUUGUGAAACUCAUUCUGUAGACCAGGCUAGCCUGAAACUCAGAUCCACCUGCCUCUGCCUCUGCCUCCACCUGCCUCUGCCUCCCAAGGGCUGGGAUUAAAGGUGUGCGCCACCACUGCCUGACUGUGUUUUCAUAUUUUUAAAAAGAUAUAUUUAUUUUUUAUGUGUUUUGCUGACAUGUGAAUGCACUGCCCACAGAGGCCAGAAGAGGGCAUAGUAUUCUCUGGAACUGGAGUUACAGGUGGUUUGCAAGAUCUCUCUCCAGCCUGAGUUUUCAGAAUUUUUAAACUUUUUGGAAGAGUUUCAAUAUAUACUUCAGUCAAAAUACCCAAAUUAGAUAAUUGUCAUUCAGUCAUGUUUCCUCAUCUGGAACAGUUCUUUUAGUCUUUUUUUUGUAUUUCUUUUUGUUUUUUAAGACAGAAUCUCUCUACUUAUCCCUGGUUGUCCUAGAACUCUCUAUAUAGACCAGGCUGGCCUCAAACUCACGAAGAUUCACCUGCCUCUGUCUCCUGAGUGCUGGGAUUAAAGGAAUACCACCACUCUUAGAUGAAUUUGUUAUUUUUCUAAGUAUCCUGGCUAGUUAUUUGAUAGAAUUCAGGUUUGUGUAAGUUUUGUUGUGAUUAUAUUAGUUUUAAGGUCUGCAUUUUAGGCAUGCAUACCAGAAGAUAUGUUACAUGUUUGUUGUUAUAUCAGGAGAGACAUGGUAACAUUUUGUCCUAAUAUUUUGUUUGUUUGUUUGUUUGUUUGUUUGUUUUUGGCUGGGAGCCAGAACGGCCUGGAAUGGUUUGAAGUAGGACACAGAAUUGGACAUAUUUUUAAAAACUGAUGGUGUCAGAGGUAGCUUUAAAGACUGGUGGUCUCUGGCCUUCGAGCUCUCUAGCUAUAAUGAAUGCUUGCUGAUAACUUCUAAAAUGUCCUACUAAAAAAUUUCUUGCUUAUUCUGUGGUUAAAAACCACUGGCUUGGGCAAUUAACACCUGUUGCCUAGCAGCGGGUACAUUUCUCCUUUUUUCUGUCCAGGCAGCCAGAAGCCUCUCUUGCUAGGCUGGUUAACUCUUUGUGAACCAGAGAGGAAGG
rnacentral:lncRNA from 1 species